CUAUUCAGUCAGGUUGUUGUAACUGGUCUGAAGCUUGUCUCUCUCUUUAGUCAGGUUGUUGUAACUGGUCUGUAGCUGGUCUCUCUAUUCAGGCAGGUUGCUGUAACUGGUCUGUAGCUGGUCUGUCUAUUCAGUCAAGUUGUUGUAACUGGUCAGAAGCUGGUCUCUCUAUUCAGGCAGGUUGUUGUAACUGGUCUGAAGCUUGUCUCUCUCUUUAGUCUAUUCGGUCAGGUUGUUGUAACUGGUCUGAAGCUGGUCUCUCUAUUCAGUCAGGUUGUUGUAUCUGGUCUCUAGCUGGUCUCUCGCUUUAGUCAGGUUGCUGUAACUGGUCUGAAGCUGGUCUCUCUAUUCAGUCAGGUUAUUGUAACUGGUCUGUAGCUGGUCUGUCUAUUCGGUCAGGUUGUUGUAACUGGUCUGUAGCUGGUCUCUCUAUUCAGUCAAGUUGUUGUAACUGGUCUGAAGCUGGUCUCUCUAUUCAGUCAGGUUGUUGUAACUGGUCUGAAGCUGGUCUCUCUCUUUAGUCAGGUUGUUGUAUCUGGUCUGUAACUGGUCUCUCUCUUUAGUCAGG
rnacentral:lncRNA from 13 species